rnacentral:lncRNA from 10 species
UUUAUUAUUGGUAUGUAAGAGCUCUGUAUUAAAGUUACGGGAGAGGAUGUCAAAAAUAACAUGAAAUAGAGGAAAUCUGUGGCCACUCAAUGCAAGGGGUAGAGCUCAGUAAUGUGUGAGGUCACUAGCAAUAGAAAAUUAGCACCAAAAUCUUGUUCAUUGUGAGGACCCUAAGUGAUUGAGAGGAAAUUAAAAUACAGAAGGAAUAAUUUCUUUACAUGUGAAUUAUGUAUUUUAGAAGGAAGCUUAUUGAAGUUCAUGGAGAUAAAAACGAGCGUUGAUGCUUAGGCCAGGGAAGGCAGUGCCUUCCAGUGGUCUGAGCAGCUACAGGAGAGACACAGACCACAGGUUCACUUGCAGAUGCACACACACCCCACAGGGGGCAGCAAGUCCGGAAAGUAGCACACGCUGUUUCCACCAUUUUUAUUUUAUAUAAACUGCAAUACCAUUAACAAGCAGACACUCAGUUAUGACUACAAAGUAAAGAUACACCUUAAUCUUUGAGAAAUAAUAAACUUUGGGG